CUACGGGUCGCUGCAGUCGGGAAUAUUGCGCAAUGGAGGAAACUCUGACGCAGUGACGCCGCGUAUAGGAAGAAGGUUUUCGGAUUGUAAUCUAUUGUCGUUAGGGAAGAUAAAAGACAGUACCUAAGGAGGAAGCUCCGGCUAACUACGUGCCAGCAGCCGCGGUAAUACGUAGGGAGCAAGCGUUAUCCGGAUUUAUUGGGUGUAAAGGGUGCGUAGACGGGAAGACAAGUUAGUUGUGAAAUCCCUCGGCUUAACUGAGGAACUGCAACUAAAACUAUUUUUCUUGAGUGUUGGAGAGGAAAGUGGAAUUCCUAGUGUAGCGGUGAAAUGCGUAGAUAUUAGGAGGAACACCGGUGGCGAAGGCGACUUUCUGGACAAUAACUGACGUUGAGGCACGAAAGUGUGGGGAGCAAACAGGAUUAGAUACCCCUGUAGUC
rnacentral:rRNA from 1 species